rnacentral:rRNA from 1 species
AGGUCACUGCUAUCGGUGUUCGAUUAAGCCAUGCGAGUCGUGAGGGGUAAAGCCCUCGGCGGAGUGCUCAGUAACACGUGGACAACCUACCCAAGAGUCAGGGGUAACCCCGGGAAACUGGGGAUAAUACCUGAUAGGCCAUGACAUCUGGAAUCGAGUUGUGGUUUAAACGUAAGGCUCUUGGAUGGGUCUGCGGCGGAUUAGGUUGUUGCCGGUGUAACGUACCAGCAAGCCUGUAAUCCGUACGGGUUGUGGGAGCAAGAGCCCGGAGAUGGAUUCUGAGACACGAAUCCAGGCCCUACGGGGCGCAGCAGGCGCGAAAACUCUACAAUGCAGGCAACUGCGAUAGGGGAACAUCGAGUGGCAUCCACCAUGGAUGUCUGUCCAAUCGUCUAAAAAACGAUUGUCAGCAAGGGCCGGGCAAGACCGGUGCCAGCCGCCGCGGUAAUACCGGCGGCUCGAGUGGUGGCCGAUAUUAUUGAGUCUAAAGGGUCCGUAGCCGGCUUCGCAAGUCCUAUGGGAAAUCCAGCGGCUUAACCGUUGGGCUUUCAUGGGAUACUACAUUGCUUGGGACUGGGAGAGGUAGGAGGUACUCAGGGGGUAGGGGUGAAAUCCUGUAAUCCUUUGGGGACCACCGGUGGCGAAGGCGUCCUACCAGAACAGGUCCGACGGUGAGGGACGAAAGCUAGGGGCACGAACCGGAUUAGAUACCCGGGUAGUCCUAGCCGUAAACGAUGCUCGCUAGGUGUCACGGCAGUCGUGAAUUGUCGUGAUGCCGUAGGGAAGCCGUGAAGCGAGCCACUUGGGAAGUACGACCGCAAAGUUGAAACUUAA